GAUCUCGUAGCUCAGCCUGGUAGAGCGCUGCUCUGAUAAGGCAGAGGCCCUGGGUUCAAAUCCCAGCGAGAUCA
rnacentral:tRNA from 1 species